rnacentral:rRNA from 1 species
AAGCUCGUAGUUGAAUUUCGAGAUCAAAUUGUUGGUCGUGCCUCGGUACGUACUGGCAUUAUUGAUUUCUCCCUUCUGAAGAACCACGAUGUCAUUAAUUUGGUGUCGUGGGGAAUCAGGACUGUUACUUUGAAAAAAUUAGAGUGUUUAAAGCAGGCUCACGCUUGAAUACAUUAGCAUGGAAUAAUGAAAUAGGACGUUUGAUUCUAUUUUGUUGGUUUCUAGGAUCGACGUAAUGAUUAAUAGGGAUAGUUGGG